GAAGGCAUAGCAUAGUGGUAGCGUGCGUGCGUGGAGUGCAGGUGGUCGUGGGUUUGAUCCCCCCUUGCUGCA
rnacentral:tRNA from 1 species